rnacentral:misc_RNA from 1 species
CAAAACCCCACCAGCCCUUCAUUGCCUCCUCUCCUUCUCCGGCAAAUCAGGCCGCCGCCGCUCAGUUUCAAACACUCAAAUCCAGGGAUGGAUCGGUUGCCCUAAAGCCCCAACAGGGUCCCAACCAUUCGGAGCCCUUAUCCGCGGAAUUGGCCUCCGUUAUCUGUCCGUCGCUGGCCUUCGCCAACACAAUGUUCUUCAGAUCGGCAUAUAAUGUGCAGGUGAUUGUGGAUGAUAAUGAACCGGAGGAGCGGCUUCUGAACAGAUUCCGGCGAGAGGUUAUGAGGGCCGGCGUGAUUCAGGAGUGUAAGAGACGGAGAUUCUUUGAGAACACUCAAGAUGUUAGGAAGCGCAAGACUCGCGAGGCUGCUAAACGCAACCGCCGGAGGCGCCCACAGGCAAGAUUUACACCACAGAACAAGCAGGAUGUGCCUGCAACCAAGCAGGAAGCUGAUGAUGACAACUGGGAUUUACCUGAAGAAGAAGACAUUCCUUAUUAACCUAAUCCAAAAGUUCACCCUCACCAAAAUGUUUAAUGUUUUCUGGUCAUCUUUUGAUUUUGGGAAGCUGUUAGUACUCUGUAAUGUAAGUUGUUUUCCAUGUAAUAUCUUCUUUAG